rnacentral:rRNA from 1 species
AUGCUGGAGGUAUCAGAAGUGCGAAUGCUGACAUAAGUAACGAUAAAGCGGGUGAAAAGCCCGCUCGCCGGAAGACCAAGGGUUCCUGUCCAACGUUAAUCGGGGCAGGGUGAGUCGACCCCUAAGGCGAGGCCGAAAGGCGUAGUCGAUGGGAAACAGGUUAAUAUUCCUGUACUUGGUGUUACUGCGAAGGGGGGACGGAGAAGGCUAUGUUGGCCGGGCGACGGUUGUCCCGGUUUAAGCGUGUAGGCUGGUUUUCCAGGCAAAUCCGGAAAAUCAAGGCUGAGGCGUGAUGACGAGGCACUACGGUGCUGAAGCAACAAAUGCCCUGCUUCCAGGAAAAGCCUCUAAGCAUCAGGUAACAUCAAAUCGUACCCCAAACCGACACAGGUGGUCAGGUAGAGAAUACCAAGGCGCUUGAGAGAACUCGGGUGAAGGAACUAGGCAAAAUGGUGCCGUAACUUCGGGAGAAGGCACGCUGAUAUGUAGGUGAAGUCCCUCGCGGAUGGAGCUGAAAUCAGUCGAAGAUACCAGCUGGCUGCAACUGUUUAUUAAAAACACAGCACUGUGCAAACACGAAAGUGGACGUAUACGGUGUGACGCCUGCCCGGUGCCGGAAGGUUAAUUGAUGGGGUCAGCGCAAGCGAAGCUCUUGAUCGAAGCCCCGGUAAACGGCGGCCGUAACUAUAACGGUCCUAAGGUAGCGAAAUUCCUUGUCGGGUAAGUUCCGACCUGCACGAAUGGCGUAAUGAUGGCCAGGCUGUCUCCACCCGAGACUCAGUGAAAUUGAACUCGCUGUGAAGAUGCAGUGUACCCGCGGCAAGACGGAAAGACCCCGUGAACCUUUACUAUAGCUUGACACUGAACAUUGAGCCUUGAUGUGUAGGAUAGGUGGGAGGCUUUGAAGUGUGGACGCCAGUCUGCAUGGAGCCGGCCUUGAAAUACCACCCUUUAAUGUUUGAUGUUCUAACGUUGACCCGUGAUCCGGGUUGCGGACAGUGUCUGGUGGGUAGUUUGACUGGGGCGGUCUCCUCCUAAAGAGUAACGGAGGAGCACGAAGGUUGGCUAAUCCUGGUCGGACAUCAGGAGGUUAGUGCAAUGGCAUAAGCCAGCUUGACUGCGAGCGUGACGGCGCGAGCAGGUGCGAAAGCAGGUCAUAGUGAUCCGGUGGUUCUGAAUGGAAGGGCCAUCGCUCAACGGAUAAAAGGUACUCCGGGGAUAACAGGCUGAUACCGCCCAAGAGUUCAUAUCGACGGCGGUGUUUGGCACCUCGAUGUCGGCUCAUCACAUCCUGGGGCUGAAGUAGGUCCCAAGGGUAUGGCUGUUCGCCAUUUAAAGUGGUACGCGAGCUGGGUUUAGAACGUCGUGAGACAGUUCGGUCCCUAUCUGCCGUGGGCGCUGGAGAACUGAGGGGGGCUGCUCCUAGUACGAGAGGACCGGAGUGGACGCAUCACUGGUGUUCGGGUUGUCAUGCCAAUGGCACUGCCCGGUAGCUAAAUGCGGAAGAGAUAAGUGCUGAAAGCAUCUAAGCACGAAACUUGCCCCGAGAUGAGUUCUCCCUGACUCCUUGAGAGUCCUGAAGGAACGUUGAAGACGACGACGUUGAUAGGCCGG